UUUCACGGUCACUAUUGUGUUUGAAUCUAAAUAUAUAUUUUAUUAUUGAUUUUAAUUUUACUUUUACAGUAAUUAAUCUCAUCAUCAUUGUUAUUUUUAACCUCACCAGAGACAACUAUACCAUCCAUCCAAAGGAAGCUAUGGUUUAUUGUCCUGCUGCUUAUCAGUGAUCAUAGACUGAUGAAGCUAGGAUUAUGGACAACCCCGAUUUUUAGUGAUGGAGCAAGCAUUUAUGGAGAAGAGAAAGACCUCAUUUUGCAUGUAAAUUGUAGACAUUGAUACUGAUGACAGAAGUUCUUCCAAGAAAUUUACAGCGAGCAGUAUUGAAAAAGAUAGAAAUGGAAUGGCCUAUUCAAGUGAGAAUUGAAUACACGUCUCAAUAUUUAUUAUUUAAGAUUUAUCCCUUUAGAGACAUACAUACUAGUUGAUUAAAUUAUGUACAUUAAAAUAUUUGAAA